rnacentral:lncRNA from 1 species
UCAUAGUUUAGCUAAUUAAAAGCAAGAAAACAAGCUAACUAAGUCGUAUAAAUAUGCUCCUAUCAAGGUUGAAAAACAAACCAAAGCUUUUGGAGUUAAGUUCCCUAGCUGGUUCAUUUGUUUUCUUUGGGGUUUUCAGAUCAUAUUCCUAAAGAAAGAAAGAGAGAAAAAGGCAUUAAGGCCUCAACUUCCUCUUUGUUCUUCAUUUAUGAAACCCUAGUUGCAAAACCUUCUUUCAUGCAUUAAACACCUAAUGAUUAUAGGGUUGUAUUGUCUUUGGUUUUACAUUAAAUUUGCGGUCAAGUGUUUCUAGUUUCAAAUCUUUAAAACUGACUCAUUUUAGGAUUCUCGUCAAUUUCUUCCUUCAAUUGUUUGACGGGAGAAAAUGACUUAGACAUUUGAAUCUAGAUCUGCAUAUCAUCAUAUGCAUAGUUCGUGUUGAAGGAAUAAUUUGUGAAAACAAGUUCAUUUGAGUAACAUCUAUGCAUGCAAUUAACAAUUAAAGGCCGAAUCAUGCUUGUAUGCACUCAAAAACAAAACUUUACCCAUGAAAUUCAAGGCCUAGUAGUUGUGGUGAACCAAGAAUCAACUCAAAUCUUAAAGAAAAGAGUUGAGAAACUUUUAUACCUUUGAAGCACCUAUUUGCUUAGCAAAUGAUAUUCAUCCAUGUGAGGGUAUUCUUUCCUUAGUCUCCUUGCUCCUUGGUUGUGGAUGGAAGAAGUUUGCUUCUUGGCUCCAUGACUUAUUGGAUAUGGAUGAAUGAAUGGAUUCUCCAAGUUCCUAAGAAAGGGAACCUCUAAGUUUCCACACUAAGGAGAGCAUUGAGGAAGAGAUGAGUGACCUAGGAAUAAUGGAUGCUAGUCCAUUCUUCCUAGGGUGGCCAGCCUCUUAUGAGAAGAGAGAGCUUUUUGUGUUUUUCUCUUUUCUCUCUAGAAAACCCUUAUGAGGGAAUGGGUUAUAAUUUCCUUUCUAUAGCCAUUUACAUUGAGUGGCAUAAUUGAAAUUAAAACCAAUUCUCCCUUACACUCUCUAUGGCCUGCCAUGUGGCUUCAAUGGGCUUUCAUGCCCUUUGUGUUUUCAAGUUGUCAAACAACUUGAGUUAUUGGAUUUGACAUUCGAAGCCCAUUGGGCCUUAAGGACCAAAACUAACCCGAGGUCUAAAACGAACUUAUUCAUUUGAUUAACUAACAUAUUAAUUAAUCCUAGCCAUAAAUAAUUAAACCAAUUAAUUAUCCUUACUCAUCUCCGUUGCUUCUUCAAUCUCUACCUUACACGGUGUACGAUAUAUUAGGUUCUUUUUAGCAAGGUAAUGGGCGAUUAGAACUCUUCAAAUCAAUUGUGAAUUGAAACUUACUUUUCAAUUCUCCCUUUAGUGAUUAUUCACCUUUAGGUCUUCCACAAACCGUGAGUGACACCUAACAGUAUGUCAUGGCUACCCAAGCUAAUCAGAAGAGGUGGAGAACCUAUUCAUUUUGGGAUUACAAUGCAAUAUGGUCUUUCUCUAAUAUAAUACUCUUGACCACAUUGUUUGAUUUGGUAGUUUAUUCAUGUCUACUAUCCAAUGUGAUUCUCUUACUUAUAUGAUUACCUUGAAUGUGAUUUGGAAAAAAUUCCUAAAUCUUAUUCAUACUUUGGCUAGAGAUUCUUAAUCAUAUCUUAGAGUAUUCUCCCUCAAACGAUUUAAAGGUUAGAGAUUCCUUGUUGUGCAUUCACUUGCCUCCAUGGCUAAAUGGCUUAACCCCAACUAUGUUGUGGACACUCUUUGACGGAGUGACUUUGACAUAAUCAAAGAUCAAGGUUAAAGAUCAAGGAUCUAACCACAAGACAACUAUGAUGCCUCAGGUCAAAAGACUACUUUGCAUUAUCCCAACCAUGAGUUUUCAAGUGACAUGAGUAUGCGAACUCUUUGUUGAUCGCGUUCAAUGGACUCAUUCUUUAUUGAGCACCUACAUGCUUGUCUUGGUGUCAGUCACACCAAUGACUUAAGACCAGUCACUCUCUCUAAGAGAAGACAUAGCAGUACUGAUCUUAACGGAUUGGCAAUCCUAUGAUCAGGAACGUUUAGGUUAUGUAUAUGAAAGAGAAUGGUCUCAUGAAUCUAACUUCUUUAUAUCACAUUCUCCCAAUUACAUAUUCUUUGGACUUAUCAUUUAAGCAUAUAACAUUUAUAUGAGACGGCUUUAAAAAAUAAUUUUUGCCCUUUAUAUCAAACUAGAUUAGUUUAACAUGUGAAAUGUCCAUAAAGUAUCAUCAUAUGAUUGGCUUUAUGGCAAAUUUUCAACACGUGUGCUGGUCUCGGUGCCACAAGGUGAAGAGCUCAAGAGGAGUUGCCACUUCCUGAAGACUAAAGGAAUUCAUCUUGUGCGAGGCAAGGAAUUCAUCUAGGAAUUGAGGUUUGCGUGGUACUUUGUAAAAACCUUGAUUAUACUAGUAGAUUGGACUCAGUGAAGAGUCCCUGGUGUUUUAAACCAGAGGUGGGUUUUUCUGCCAAAAAACAUCUUGUGUUCAAAGUGUGCCACAUAUCUCACAUAACUACAUGCUACAUGUAUCACUUGAGUAUUUAAUUAGUAUGUGUUCGCAAUCUUACUCACUUGACACAUUAAUAACUUGGAAAUAACUAAGGUUUUGCUGACUAGGAUAGCUUUUGGUAUUUGAAAUUGGUUAUUAAAUCUUUAAUUUAUUGACUAACAAUUCUAUCUUAGUUAACCAGGGGGCUUGACUAGUCAGUUCACCAGAUUAUCAUUUUUAUACACAGGAUAUUCCGCAUGGUACCAAUUUCAUUUGGUAUCAGAGCCUUGCUCUAGAUAUAUAUAUAUAUAUAUAUAUAUAUAUAUAUAUAUAUAUAUAUAUAUAUAUCCGGGAUUUACUGGUAUUGGGUGGAAUCUCACCAUGGACCGUGAUCAUAUUGGUACAUCUUGUAACAUUCCUCCAUUCUUUGAUGGAUCUAAUUAUGUUGCAUGGAGUGAAAAGUUUCAAAUCUUUCUGGAAGCUCAGGACUUAAUUAUUGUUGACUAUCUUAGCCUCGAAUGGAAAACACCAUCAAGAAAUGUAAAUGAUGAAUCUGUGAUCAAAUCUAAAGGAGAUUGGUCUCCUAGUGAAGUUUCUUCUACCAUGGCAAAUAAAAAAACACUUGCUCUUGAGGCACACAUUGAGGAACAGAAUGAGAAGGUAUCUCUUUAUGAUGAUAAAAAGGAAAAAGAUGAUGUUAUUACUGCUCUUGAAGCUUAAGUUCAAAAAUUGCUGGAAUCUCAAGAAAACCUGAUGAAUCAAAUUCAUGUGUUGAAAGCAAAUAAUGUUAUGUAUCAUGAGGCUAAUCAGAAACAGCUACUUGAGUUAAAUGAGGCAAAUGACAAGGUUAUUCAUCUUACUAUUGGGGCUGAAAAAAUUAACAAGAUGUUGAGUCUUGGGAAACCUUAUAGUGACAAAAGUGGCCUUGGCUACAUGGAAAACGGCUCAAGCUCAUUGGGUACCAAAUCAAGAUUUAUGAGAGAAUCUCAUCCUAUGCCACCUAAUGUCAAUCCAAGCUCAAACUCUAGAUUUAUUCCCACAUGUCAUCACUGUGGUGAAUUGGGCCACAUUCGUCUUAAGUGUAGGAAUUUUCACUCUAGGAAGAAUGAUACCUUGAAAAAUUAGAUGGAUUGAUUGGUCAAUAAAGUCAACAGAAUUGCUCAACUUAUGCAGUCAUCCAGUAUGGAAAGGGAGAGACCCACUUCAAAUGGGUCCAGAAAGUCUCCAACAGUUGUUUUGUUGUUCUAAAUGCUCUAUUAGUUACCAAACUAAAUAUGUGGUAUCUUGAUUGUGGGUGCUCUCACCAUAUGAUUGGAGACAAGGAGGCAUUCUCAUCUCUUGCUCCUUUUAUUAGCGAUUGUGUUGUAUUUGGUAGUGGGGACAAGUCUCAAAUCACAAGGAAAGGUGAUGUGAAGAUUUGUGGAUUACCUAAGCUUGAAAAUGUUAGCUAUGUUGAUAGGUUAAAGUCAAAUCUCAUUAGCAUUAGCCAGUUAUGUGAUAAUGUGGCUAAUGAAGUGUGCUAAUUGCCGGAUUAUGGAUGAACAUGGAAAAAACUUGAUUGUACUCCCAAGAUCUUGAGACAAUUGCUACAUUCUUGAUGUCUCUAAAGUUGCUGAAUACUCCAAAUGCAAUAAACUAUUGAUGAAACUAGUGUAUUGUGGCAUAAGAGACUUGGACAUGUGAACUUCAAAGACCUCAAGAAAUAUCCAAACAUGAGGUUGUGAGGGGACUGCCACCUUUUUUUGUUUCUAGCUCCUAUGUUUGCAGAUCAUUCCAAUUAGGAAAGCAAUCUAGGGUGGCUCAUAAGAAAGUGACUGGCAUUGGAAUAAUCAAGCCACUUAAUGGAUUCAUAUGGAUCUUGUUGGGCCAAUUCAGACCUUAUCUCUUGGUGGCAAGUAGUACAUCUUGGUAAUUGUGGAUGACUAUUCUAGAUUCACUUGGGUAUGCUUUUUAAGGAAAAAAAAUCUGAUACCUUUCAACAGUUUCUCACUGUGUACAGAGUAAUGUUAAAUGAAUCUCUAUCUAGCCAACUUGCUCUUGUUAGAAUCAGAACUAAUCAUGGAACCAAAUUUAAGGAUGCUCACUUUGACUAUUUCUAUUCAAUAAACGGCAUCAAGCAUGAAUUUUUUGCUCCAAUCACCCCUCAACAAAAAUCGUGCUUUGAUAGAGAUGACUAGGGUGCUACUUAACGGUAAAAACUCGGGGCCGAUGCCAUGAACACCGCUAGCUACAUCUCAAAUCGUGUGUUUCUCAGACUGGGCACUAAAGUGACACCUCAUGAACUCUAGAGGGGUAAGAAGCUAAUGGUAAAGUAUUUCAAAGUCUUUGGGAGUGUUUGCUACAUUCUACAUGAUCGAGAACAUCUAGCAAAAUUUGAUACCAAGAGUGAUGAGGGAAUCUUCUUAGGGUACUCCAACACAAGUUGGGCUUAUAAAGUUUACAAGUUGAGAAAAAAAAACCAUCAUGGAGUCCAUAAAUGUCAAGAUUGAUGACACUAAUUUUCCUCCAUCUUUGGCAACUGGAAAUAAUGAUGUGUUAUUUCCCUCUAAGGAUAACAGUGAUGUUUUUGUUGAGUCAACUGUGGUGUCAGAAAGUGACAAUGAGAGUGAAUCAAGCACUGAUGUUAAAGAAAUUAGGAUAGAGGUCAGAAAGUGGCAAGAUUCUCGUGUCAUAUUCAAGGAUAAACCAAAGUGGGCCAGAAGUCAUCAUGAUGAAGAAAUUAUGGGUCCAAUUGACAAAGGCGUUAGAACUCAAAGACAAAUAGAUGAUGAAUAUGUAAAUGUUUGCUAUGUCUCCUAAAUUGAGCCUAAGAAUAUUAAAGAUGCUUUAACUAAUGAAGAAUGGAUCUUGGCUAUACAGGAAGAGCUGAACCAGUUUGAGAAGAAUGAAGUAUGUCCAUUGUUGAUUGUCCAUCAAACACUAAUGUUAUUAGCACAAAAUGAAUUUACAAGAACAAGUAUGAUGAGUCAGGAAAUGUGAUCAUAAAUAAGGCCAAGCUUGUUGGUCAAGGAUACUCUCAACUCGAAGGUGUUGAUUUUGAUGAAACCUUCUCUCAUGUUGCUCGUCUUGAAUCUUUUAAACUUCUAUGUGUUAUUGCAUGCUAUUUAAAGUUCAAGCUUUUUCAAAUGGAUGUCAAAACUGCAUUCCUUAAUGGAUAUCUUAAUGAAGAAGUCUACAUUGAACAACCUAAAAGGUUUGAAGAUUCUUACAAUCCUAACGGUGUGUACAAACUGAGGAAAGCUCUUUAUGGUCUCAAGCAAGCUCCUUGUGCUUAGUAUGACAUGUUAUCCUCUUAUCUUCUUACUCAUGGUUACACACAUGGCUCAGUUGACAAUACACUAUUUGUAAAGAAGGUGAAGUCUCUUGUUGUGAUUGCUCAAGUGUUCGUUGAUGAUAUUGUUGUUGGCUCUACUUGUGAUUCUCUUAUGAAGCAGUUCAUUGACAUGAUGACCAGUGAGUUUGAAAUGAGCCUUGUUGGUGAACUAAACUACUUUCUUGGACUUUAAGUCAAACAAGAAAAUGAUGGCAUUUUCAUCUCUCAAGCCAAGUAUGCCAAGAAUUUGGUGAAGAAAUUUGGUCUUGAAGAAAUGUUCAAGAAUGUGGCACAACUCACUUCAAAAGGUUUAUUCAUGCAUGUGCAUUUCAUGUCUACAUUCCUGUUUCAUUCUGACUAGCUUAGUUGUCUAGUCAGCCGUGCACACGGAUUUCUAGCAAGCUGGGCACGUAAUUUAAGACCUGCCUGCAUAAGGCUAACUAACAGCUUUCUGGCAAAUGUCUAUUUUUCACCCUUGAUAUUUUCAGAUCGUUUUGAAGCUUGACACGUGUCAUAUGGGUUGAAAAAUGAAUCAAAGCUUUUAGGGUUAAGAUCCCUAGCUGGUUCAUUUGUUUUCUUCAGGUUUUCAUAUCAUAGUCCUACAGAAAGAAUGAGAGAAAAAUGCAUUAAGUCAUCACCUUCCUCUUUGUUCUUCAUUUAUGAAACUCUAGUUGCAAAAGCUUCUUUCAUGCAUUAAACACCCAAUCAUUGAAGAAUAGGGUUGCAUUGUCUUUGGUUUUGCAUUAAAUUUGUGGUCAAGUGUUUCUAGUUUCAAAUCUUUAAAACUAACCCAUUUUAGGAUUCUCGUCAGUUUCUUCCUCUAAAUAUUUGACUGGAGAAACUGACUAGACAUUUGAAUCCAUAUCUGCAUAUCAUUGCCAUAUCAUCAUAUGCAUAGUUCGUGUACUGGUCUCGGUGCCAUAAGGUGAAAAGCUCAAGAGGAGCUGCCAUUUCGUGAAGACCAAAGGAAUCCAUCUUGUAUGAGGCAAGGUUGUACAAAGGUAAAGUUGCUCCAUAGAUAGGGAUCUAGAAAUUGAGCUUUGCACGGUACUUUGUAAGAACCUUGAUUAUACUAGUGGGUUGGCCUCGGUGAAGAGUCCUCAAUUUUUUAACCCAGGGAUGGGUUUUUUUUCAGUUAAAAACAUCUUGUGUUCAAAGCUAUUUAUAGUGUGCCAGAUAUCUCACAUAACUACAUGCUACAUGUAUCACUUAAGCAGUUAAUUAGUAUGUGUUCACAAUCUUGCUCACUUAACACAUCAAUUACUUGGAAGGAACUGACGAGCUUCCGAUAAAACAUACCUAUCAAUUUGUCCCCCUUACU